rnacentral:rRNA from 1 species
AUUGAACGCUGGCGGCAGGCCUAACACAUGCAAGUCGAGCGGGGUUUUCGGACCUAGCGGCGGACGGGUGAGUAAUGCGUAGGAAGCUACCCGAUAGAGGGGGAUACCAGUUGGAAACGACUGUUAAUACCGCAUAAUGUCUACGGACCAAAGUGUGGGACCUUCGGGCCACAUGCUAUCGGAUGCGCCUACGUGGGAUUAGCUAGUUGGUGGGGUAAUGGCUCACCAAGGCGACGAUCCCUAGCUGGUUUGAGAGGAUGAUCAGCCACACUGGAACUGAGACACGGUCCAGACUCCGACGGGAGGCAGCAGUGGGGAGUAUUGGACAAUGGGCGCAAGCCUGAUCCAGCCAUGCCGCGUGUGUGAAGAAGGCCUUCGGGUUGUAAAGCACUUUCAGUAGGGAGGAAGGGUGUUGUGUUAAUAGCACAGCAUUUUGACGUUACCUACAGAAGAAGCACCGGCUAACUCUGUGCCAGCCGCCGCAGUAACAC